CUGAAACCUUGGGAAAUGGACAGGGUAUGGUGAGAAGAAUGAAGAGAGUCUGAAACCCUGGGAAAUGGACAGGGUAUGGUGAGAAGAAUGAAGAGAGUCUGAAACCCUGGGAAAUGGACAGGGUAUGGUGAGAAGAAUGAAGAGAGUCUGAAACCCUGGGAAAUGGACAGGGUAUGGUGAGAAAAAUGAAGAGAGUCUGAAACCUUGGGAAAUGGACAGGGUAUGGUGAGAAGAAUGAAGAGAGUCUGAAACCCUGGGAAAUGGACAGGGUAUGGUGAGAAGAAUGAAGAGAGUCUGAAACCCUGGGAAAUGGACAGGGUAUGGUGAGAAGAAUGAAGAGAGUCUGAAACCUUGGGAAAUGGACAGGGUAUGGUGAGAAGAAUGAAGAGAGUCUGAAACCUUGGGAAAUGGA
ensembl:lncRNA